GAAGGCGGCAAGGCAACGUAAGCCUCACCGGAGAAAAGCCACGAUGCACCGAUUCCGUCGCCAUGGCUUCCUCCACGCCGACUGCCUAAGCGCCGCCCCUUUGGAGGAUCACACUGCCGCUGCAUUCUUCUCUGCGGAUCGCGCUCUGCUGGGAAGCUGGGGGCACUGGCGGCGGCGGUGAGCCACCGCAGCCCGGCUCGAGCGCUCGCUGCUGGUCUCCGCGGGAAGUUGGUUGCCGGCCCUCUCAUUCUCAUCUCCGCAUUUCAUCGCCUCGUUGGUCAGCAGCAACCAAAUGUCCCCUGAAGAAUAAGGAUAAAAAGAAGUCCAGCGAACUCAGAAGUCAAGAACUUAAGAUUAUUGGUUCGAGUGAUAGACAAUGCCAUACUGCCAUGACUCUGAAGGGGACAAUUUGUGACUCUGAAGAGAUCAGUGUUUAUGAUUGCAUCUGUAAAGAACCGCAGAAUGAGCUUAGAUGUAUGAAGAGGUGGAGAAGUGAGAAACAGCUCUAUUUCUGUA